rnacentral:rRNA from 1 species
AUACGUAGGUGGCAAGCGUUGUCCGGAAUUAUUGGGCGUAAAGCGCGCGCAGGUGGAUACUUAAGUGGGAUGUGAAAUCCCCGGGCUCAACCCGGGAACUGCAUUCCAAACUGGGUAUCUAGAGUGCAGGAGAGGAAAGCGGAAUUCCUAGUGUAGCGGUGAAAUGCGUAGAUAUUAGGAGGAACACCAGUGGCGAAGGCGGCUUUCUGGACUGAAACUGACACUGAGGCAUGAAAGCGUGGGUAGCAAACAGGAUUAGAUACCCUGGUAGUCCACGCCGUAAACGAUGGGUACUAGGUGUAGGAGGUAUCGACCCCUUCUGUGCCGUCGUUAACACAAUAAGUACCCCGCCUGGGGAGUACGGUCGCAAGACUAAAACUCAAAGGAAUUGACGGGG